UCCUGUCUGAGAACGCAGGAGAUAACGGUGGACAAGGUGGAUAUUUCACUUCAAGGGUCCAGGAUAUAUAUUUAGAACUGGCUUCCAGAGCCAACCGUCGUGAACUCCUGACGAACAAAUGGAAAACGUGGCUCUCCUCCCCAGUCCGGACAGCAUCGUCAUCACGGCGUGCAGCCAGUAGCCUUGUUUUUUGCAGGCUGGGCACUUCCAUCAGGCCAGCUCCACGGGCAUGAGACUCCAUUGGCACUCUUGGAUUCCUGACUCUGACUGUGGAAUGGGGCGGUGAAGUCAGCUGGUGCCGUAAGACUUUCCAUCAGCCUUCCUGCUGGCACCUUGAUCACAGACUAUUGCCUGUAGAACUGUGAGACCAUAAAUUUUGGCUACCCAGUUUAUGGUACUUUGUCACAGCAGACCUAGGAAGCUAAUAUACCACCUGAAAUUUGACCCGCUCUAUAAAGUUGAUCCAUAAGAAUUAUGCCUGGGUCCAAAAUCAGUUUGAUCAAAUUCAGUUUUUUAAAAAAUUAACCAUUGAUCAGAACAUACCAGUGAGGGUUCCUGGGCAUGUACUUCUGUCUGUUAACCCGGCUUUGUCACCGGAACCUGGUGCAUUAACCCUUCCCCUUUGAAGGGAAGCACAUGCUCCUUCCCACUUUGACUAGUCCCUCUGAUGCAAGGACCACUGAGCAAUCAGUGUUCCCUCCUCCUGGAAUUGGGCAAGAGGCCACAGUGUGUAUCGUUCGCUGAGCCUGAGGCCUUGACAACAGCAGACAGCAGCGUGAGGAGCUCAGGUGGCUAAGCCAUGGGCCUUCUUAGGAUGGACAGGAUAUGGUGGCACCGGAAGGCCGAGAGUGUCCAGCAAGGAGAAGUCAAGCUCAGAACCCUCAGUGGCACACGUGCGAGACUGGGCAGGAGAAGAGGAACCAGCAGAGGAGGCUGAGAGGCAGUUGGCCGAAAGGUGGCAGGAAAACCAGGGAGAAAAUGUCUUAGAAGCCAAGGGAGAAGGGCACUCAUAGCGAGGGCAGCCCGUGCCCCUGGAAGGUCACAAGAUGAGGACCAAGACGAGGCACCGAAUUUGCAGACUGGGAGCCACCGGCUUUUCGACACGCUAUCUCUGUGCCACGGAAGCUGGGUUAGCGUGGAACGGGAGAUGGGCCAGAGGUGGUGGA